UACGAAGGGGGCUAGCGUUGCUCGGAAUCACUGGGCGUAAAGCGCACGUAGACGGACUCUUAAGUCGGUGGUGAAAUCCUGGAGCUCAACUCCAGAACUGCCUUCGAUACUGAGAGUCUCGAGUCCGAGAGAGGUGAGUGGAACUGCGAGUGUAGAGGUGAAAUUCGUAGAUAUUCGCAAGAACACCAGUGGCGAAGGCGGCUCACUGGCUCGGUACUGACGCUGAGGUGCGAAAGCGUGGGGAGCAAACAGG
rnacentral:rRNA from 1 species